rnacentral:sRNA from 1 species
GAGCAGUGUCUGUGCAUGAGGACCAGCUCCAGGCCCCUGCUGGUGAGGGGAGACACCUCCACGUGUGCUUGAAUGCAGGAGAUGUGGGAGGGUGGGCUUCUGGGGCUCCCUUCAUAGCUUUGGUCCUUGGAGGGAGCCACCAGUGUGUGAGGGCUCAAGAAAUCAGGGAGCCAGAAGACCAGGUGCAAGGGUUUGACAACAAGCCCUUCCAACUAGCACUGGCUCCACUUCCCGAAGAGCAGCCUCUGCCAGGGGUGAGGACGCAGGGACGGGGGAUGCUCUGAAGGCAGCAGUGUGUGUGAGUGCAUGCUUAUGUGCACUGGAGGUGGAAGAGAGGGGCAGGGGAUGGACAGACCCCAAGCCUUAGCAACCCACCCCAAGCUUUUCUGUGUCCCUUAGAACGGCCCCUGAGGCUGCAGCGCUCCCCCGUCCUCAAACGCAGGCCAAAACUCGAGGCACCUCCAUCCCCAAGCCUAGGAUCUGGCCUUGGAACCGAGCCUCUGCCCCCACAGCCCACAGAGCCCUCCAGCCCUGAGCGGAGCCCACCCUCCCCAGCCACAGACCAAAGAGGCGGCGGCCCCAAUCCCUGAUCCUCUCCUCUCCUGCCGCAUGAGAUUAUUUUAUUAAAAAACUCAAAG